CCUACGGGUGGCAGCAGUGGGGAAUAUUGCGCAAUGGGCGACAGCCUGACGCAGCGACGCCGCGUGAGGGAUGCAGGUCUUCGGAUCGUAAACCUCUGUCAGCAGGGAAGAACGGUCACUGUGCUAAUCAGCAGUGCAUUGACGGUACCUGCAAAGGAAGCACCGGCUAACUCCGUGCCAGCAGCCGCGGUAAGACGGAGGGUGCGAGCGUUAAUCGGAAUUACUGGGCGUAAAGCGCUCGUAGGCGGUAUGUCAAGUCAAGGGUGAAAUCCCCGCGCUCAACGUGGGAACUGCCUUUGAAACGGGCAAACUGGAGUGUGUGAGAGGAUAGUGGAAUUGCAGGUGUAGGAGUGAAAUCCGUAGAUAUCUGGAGGAACAUCAGUGGCGAAGGCGACUAUCUGGCACAUAACUGACGCUGAGGAGCGAAAGCGUGGGUAGCAAACAGGAUUAGAUACCCCAGUAGUC
rnacentral:rRNA from 1 species